rnacentral:rRNA from 1 species
CCUACGGGAGGCUGCAGUGAGGAAUAUUGGUCAAUGGACGCAAGUCUGAUCCAGCCAUGCCGCGUGCAUGAAGACGGCUCUAUGAGUUGUAAUCUUCUCUUGUACGAGGGUAAACGCAGAUACGCGUAUCUGUCUGAAAGUAUCGUACGAAUAAGGAUCGGCUAACUCCGUGCCAGCCGCCGCGGUCAUACGGAGGAGUCAUGCGUUAUCCGGAAUUAUUUGGUUUAAAGGGUGCGUAGGCGGUCGGAUAAGUUAGAGGGGAAAUCCCGAGGCUCAACUUCGGAAUUGCCUCUGAUACUGGCCGGCUAGAGAGUAGUAGCGGUAGGCAGAAUGUAAGGUGUAGCGGUGAAAUGCUUAGAGAUCAUACAGAACACCGAUUGCGAAGGCAGCUUACCGAGCGACUUCUGACGUUGAGGCACGAAAGCGUGGGGAGCAAACAGGAUUAGAUACCCUGGUAGUC